GUCGAGAAUAAUUCACAAUGGACGAAAGUCUGAUGGUGCAACGCCGCGUGGAGGAUGAAGGUCUUCGGAUUGUAAACUCCUGUCAUCGGGGAGUAAGACCUGGCGGUAAAUAGCCGACAGGGUUGAUAGUACCCGAAGAGGAAGGGACGGCUAACUUCGUGCCAGCAGCCGCGGUAAUACGAAGGUCCCAAGCGUUGUUCGGAAUCACUGGGCGUAAAGGGAGCGUAGGCGGCGUGGUAAGUCAGAUGUGAAAUCCCGGGGCUCAACCCCGGAACUGCAUCCGAUACUGCCAUGCUUGAGGGUUGGAGAGGUAGCUGGAAUUCUCGGUGUAGCAGUGAAAUGCGUGGAUAUCGAGAGGAACACUCGUGGCGAAGGCGAGCUACUGGACAACAUCUGACGCUGAGGCUCGAAGGCCAGGGGAGCAAAAGGGAUUAGAAACCCCAGUAGUCC
rnacentral:rRNA from 1 species